AGAGCCGGGGUCUGGAAGCAGGGCAGGAAUGAGCGAGGGUGGUAAAAUUAAACUUCACUUUGUUAACUAAUGGCUGGGGAGUGCUGGGCGUCAGCCGUGACAUGCGUGUGCUGUGGCGCCAGCAGUGCCUGGAAAGACAGUGUAAACUGUGUUUUUCAUCUCCUUGGAGAGCUUGGACAUAGUGUAGUCUAGGGCAUUAUCUGUUGCUUUCCAAGCUCUCAGAAAGCUGUCAUUUCAACACUCCCUGUUUUUUAAAAGGUUUUUUUUUUUUUUUUUUUUUUUUUUUUUUUUUGUGUUCCCUUGUCUAUCUUUUCAAGGGCCUUUACAGGGAAGAGGCUGAUUGUAGAAGAGGAAAAGGCUGCCAGACACACUAGGUCAACAGUGAAAAGAGAUUGCAUACCACAUUCUGGAACCAAAUUUAGAGUGAAUGAUAUGCAAAUUUUAAAGAUUGAACCCAGCAGUUCUGAUUUCUCCCAGGAACAAAGGAACAAGUGCUUCUUUAUCCUAGAAACAAAAAUAAUCUCUGCUGCGUUUUUACCAUCUCCCCAAAUGAAGAAAGUGGAUGAGGAUUAAGCCCUGAUCUACCUCUCUGAUGUUGGAUUUCCCCAUCAACUGUCUUGAUCCCACACCAAGCAACCUAGCUGAAAAAAAAUCACAGAUGAGGGAUAUUUAAAAGAGCCUUGGCUAUUAUUAUUUAGCCAAUCUUAAUCUAUCCAUUGCUGCUAAAUCACCUAUUUUGACAAAUGGGGAAUAUCCACUACAGAAAUAGUCUAACUGUAUACUGACAUACGAUUCCUUUUUUUUCUCCCAUUAGUAUCUUCUGUGGUGUGCCUGUGAAUUGUGAAUAUGGAAUCUGUUUAUUCAAAAGGAUUCAUAUGGUCAAGUUUUCUGUCUGUUUACUUGCUUAAAUAAAUGUUCUCAAUUUAACACAACAAUUUGUAAUGAGUACUGUGAAACAAAGUUAAAAGAAUGAGUUCUUGAAAUAGAAAUUGUAAUAAAAUGCUUUUCUCCUCU
rnacentral:lncRNA from 1 species